rnacentral:rRNA from 1 species
GAGUUUGAUCUUGGCUCAGAUUGAACGCUGGCGGCAUGCCUUACACAUGCAAGUCGAACGGCAGCACGGGAGCUUGCUCCUGGUGGGCGAGCGGCGAACGGGUGAGUAAUGCAUCGGAACGUAUCCUGGAGUGGGGGAUAACGUAGCGAAAGUUACGCUAAUACCGCAUAUUCUGUGAGCAGGAAAGCGGGGGACCUUCGGGCCUCGCGCUCGUGGAGCGGCCGAUGUCGGAUUAGCUAGUUGGUGAGGUAAAGGCUCACCAAGGCGACGAUCCGUAGCAGGUCUGAGAGGAUGAUCUGCCACACUGGAACUGAGACACGGUCCAGACUCCUACGGGAGGCAGCAGUGGGGAAUUUUGGACAAUGGGGGCAACCCUGAUCCAGCCAUGCCGCGUGAGUGAAGAAGGCCUCGGUGUAAG